rnacentral:tRNA from 1 species
UUAAUUGAAGCCAAAUACUGAGGUAACUUAUUGUUAAUAAGAAAAUUGAAUUAAUUUCCAAUUAAA